rnacentral:rRNA from 1 species
UACGUAGGUGGCAAGCGUUGUCCGGAAUUAUUGGGCGUAAAGCGCGCGCAGGCGGUUCCUUAAGUCUGAUGUGAAAGCCCACGGCUCAACCGUGGAGGGUCAUUGGAAACUGGGGGACUUGAGUGCAGAAGAGGAGAGCGGAAUUCCACGUGUAGCGGUGAAAUGCGUAGAGAUGUGGAGGAACACCAGUGGCGAAGGCGGCUCUCUGGUCUGUAACUGACGCUGAGGCGCGAAAGCGUGGGGAGCAAAC